rnacentral:rRNA from 1 species
UAGUUGGUGGGGUAAAAGCCUACCAAGCCUAUGACGGGUAGCUAGUCUGAGAGGAUGAUUAGCCAGAUCGGGACUGAGACACAGCCCGAACUCCUACGGGAGGCAGCAGUUGGGAAUCUUGCACAAUGGACGAAAGUCUGAUGCAGCGACACCGCGUGGAGGAUGAAGGCCUUAGGGUCGUAAACUCCUUUUAUAGGGGAGUAAUCUUUGAAAGUACCCUAUGAAUAAGCACCGGCUAACCCCGUGCCAGCAGCCGCGGUAAUACGGGGGGUGCUAACGUUGUCCGGAAUUACUGGGCGUAAAGCGCAUGUAGGUGGUUUGGUAAGUCAGCGAUUAAAGACCGACGCCUAACGUCGGGAGUGUCUCUGAUACUGCCUAACUUGAGGAAAACAGGGGUAAGCGGAACUUUCGGUGUAGGAGUGAAAUCCGUAGAUAUCGAAAGGAACACCAAUGGCGAAGGCAGCUUACUGGGUUUUACCUGACACUGAGAUGCGAAAGCGUGGGGAGCAAACGGGAUUAGAUACCCCGGUAGUCCACGCUGUAAACGUUGCUCACUAGGUCUUGGGAGGUAUCGACCCCUCUUUGGACCGAAGCUAACGCGUUAAGUGAGCCGCCUGGGAGUACGAACGCAAGUUUAAAACUCAAAGGAAUUGACGGGGGACCCGCACAAGUGGGUGGGAGC